GUCUGUGUGUAUGUGUGUGUGUCUCUGUAUGUAUGUGUCUGUAUCAUACAGACACAUACAUACAGAGACACACAUACAUACAG